CGCUGGCGGCGUGCCUAACACAUGCAAGUCGAGCGAGGAGAUUCCUUCGGGAUGAUCCUAGCGGCGGACGGGUGAGUAACACGUGGGCAACCUGCCUCAUAGAGAGGAAUAGCCUUCCGAAAGGGAGAUUAAUACCUCAUAACAUUGCAGUUUCGCAUGGAACAGCAAUUAAAGGAGCAAUCCGCUAUGAGAUGGGCCCGCGGCGCAUUAGCUAGUUGGUGAGGUAACGGCUCACCAAGGCGACGAUGCGUAGCCGACCUGAGAGGGUGAUCGGCCACAUUGGGACUGAGACACGGCCCAGACUCCUACGGGAGGCAGCAGUGGGGAAUAUUGCACAAUGGGGGAAACCCUGAUGCCAGCAACGCCGCGUGAGUGAUGACGGCCUUCGGGUUGUAAAGCUCUGUCUUCAGGGACGAUAAUGACGGUACCUGAGGAGGAAGCCACGGCUAACUACGUGCCAGCCGCGGC
rnacentral:rRNA from 1 species